GAUGAACGCUGGCGGCGUGCCUAAUACAUGCAAGUCGAGCGAACGGACGAGGAGCUUGCUCCUCUGACGUUAGCGGCGGACGGGUGAGUAACCCGUGGAUAACCUACCUAUAAGACUGGGAUAACUUCGGGAAACCGGAGCUAAUACCGGAUAAUAUAUUGAACCGCAGGGUUCAAUAGUGAAAGACGGUUUUGCUUUCACUUAUAGAUGGAUCCGCGCCGCAUUAGCUAGUUGGUAAGGUAACGGCUUACCAAGGCAACGAUGCGUAGCCGACCUGAGAGGGUGAUCGGCCACACUGGAACUGAGACACGGUCCAGACUCCUACGGGAGGCAGCAGUAGGGAAUCUUCCGCAAUGGGCGAAAGCCUGACGGAGCAACGCCGCGUGAGUGAUGAAGGUCUUCGGAUCGUAAAGCUCUGUUAUUAGGGAAGAACAAAUGUGUAAGUAACUAUGCACGUCUUGACGGUACCUAAUCAGAAAGCCACGGCUAACUACGUG
rnacentral:rRNA from 1 species